AGCUCUGUAAGCGUAUAUCAAAGUUGUUGCAGUUAAAACGCUCGUAGUCGAACUUAGGCGUUCUUAAAUCUGAUGCGUGGCACCGGCGACGGUGAUUUUCUUCGCAUCAGGCGCCUUUGUGGAGGGGUGCCUUGCGGUGCUUUAUUGGAUUGCAAGGUGCCUGCCACGUUUUACUGUGAAAAAAUUAAGGUGUUCAAAGCAGGCGUUUGCCAUGAAUACAUUAGCAUGGAAUAAUAGAAUAGGACCUGGUGCCUUUUUCUAUUGGUUUGUAAGUAUCAGGUAAUGAUUAAGAGGGACGGUCGGGGGCAUUUGUAUUUCGGCGCUAGAGGUGAAAUUCUUGGAUUGCCGAAAGACAAACAGCUGCGAAAGCGUCUGCCAAGGACGUUUUCA
rnacentral:rRNA from 1 species